UACGUAGGGCGCAAGCGUUAUCCGGAAUUACUGGGCGUAAAGUGUGCGCAGGCGGCCGCGCAAGUCGAGUGUGAAAGCCCCGGGCUUAACUUGGGAAUUGCGCUCGAAACUACGUGGCUGGAGUGUGGCAGAGGAAGGUGGAAUUCCAGGUGUAGCGGUGAAAUGCGUAGAGAUCUGGAGGAACACCGAUGGCGAAGGCAGCCUUCUGGGCCAACACUGACGCUCAGGCACGAAAGCGUGGGGAGCAAACAGG
rnacentral:rRNA from 1 species